CCCCUGGUUGUGCAAAUGGUUAAUGCGCUCAGCUGCUAAAUGAAAAGUUGUGGUUGAAGUCCACCCAGGGGC
rnacentral:tRNA from 1 species